rnacentral:rRNA from 1 species
UACGGGGGGGGCAAGCGUUGUUCGGAAUUACUGGGCGUAAAGGGCUCGUAGGCGGCCUACUAAGUCGGACGUGAAAUCCCCAGGCUCAACCUGGGAACUGCGUCCGAUACUGGAUGGCUUGAGUUCGGGAGAGGUGAGUGGAACUGCGAGUGUAGAGGUGAAAUUCGUAGAUAUUCGCAAGAACACCAGUGGCGAAGGCGGCUCACUGGCCCGAUACUGACGCUGAGGUGCGAAAGCGUGGGGAGCAAACAGG